UUAGCUCAGCCGGUAGAGCAUCUCCCUUUUAAGGAGGGGGCCGUUGGUUCGAAUCCAACA
rnacentral:tRNA from 1 species